UGACCAUGUUUUAUUUCCAUGGAU
rnacentral:snRNA from 1 species